AGUAAUGUCUGGGAAACUGCCUGAUGGAGGGGGAUAGCUACUGGAAACGGUAGCUAAUACCGCAUAACGUCGCAAGACCAAAGAGGGGGACCUUAGGGCCUCUUGCCAUCGGAUGUGCCCAGAUGGGAUUAGCUAGUAGGUGGGGUAAUGGCUCACCUAGGCGACGAUCCCUAGCUGGUCUGAGAGGAUGACCAGCCACACUGGAACUGAGACACGGUCCAG
rnacentral:rRNA from 1 species